AAAUUGAAGAGUUUGAUCAUGGCUCAGAUUGAACGCUGGCGGCAGGCCUAACACAUGCAAGUCGAACGGUAACAGGAAACAGCUUGCUGUUUCGCUGACGAGUGGCGGACGGGUGAGUAAUGUCUGGGAAACUGCCUGAUGGAGGGGGAUAACUACUGGAAACGGUAGCUAAUACCGCAUAAUGUCGCAAGACCAAAGAGGGGGACCUUCGGGCCUCUUGCCAUCGGAUGUGCCCAGAUGGGAUUAGCUAGUAGGUGGGGUAACGGCUCACCUAGGCGACGAUCCCUAGCUGGUCUGAGAGGAUGACCAGCCACACUGGAACUGAGACACGGUCCAGACUCCUACGGGAGGCAGCAGUGGGGAAUAUUGCACAAUGGGCGCAAGCCUGAUGCAGCCAUGCCGCGUGUAUGAAGAAGGCCUUCGGGUUGUAAAGUACUUUCAGCGGGGAGGAAGGGAGUAAAGUUAAUACCUUUGCUCAUUGACGUUACCCGCAGAAGAAGCACCGGCU
rnacentral:rRNA from 1 species